rnacentral:rRNA from 1 species
AUUCCUGCCCGGUGAUUUAUAUUAAACGGCCGCGGUAUCCUGACCGUGCGAAGGUAGCAUAAUAAUUUGCCUCUUAAUUAGUGGCUAGUAUGAAUGGAUUUACGAGAGUAUAGCUGUCUCCUACAAAAAAAUAAAAACUAAACUCUAAGUGAAGAUGCUUAGAUUAAUCUAAAGGACAAAAAGACCCUGUUGAGCUUAACCUAAACAAAAUUUAAUAAUUUCUUAAAGGUUUAGUUGGGGCGACUAAGGAAAAAAUAAAGCUUCCUUAACAUAAAGACAACAUAAGUCAAAUAAAAGAUCUGUUAAAACAAUCUGUAAAUAAGCUACCACAGGGAUAACAGACCAAUCCUCCUUAAGAGCUCAAAUUGACAGGAGGGCUUGGCACCUCGAUGUUGGCUUAAGAUUUCCUCUAAGUGCAGCCGCCUAGUAGGUAGGUUUGUUCAACCUUUAAAAUCUUACGUGAUCUGAGUUUCCAAACCGGA